AGCAGCCGCGGUAAUUCCAGCUCCAAUAGCGUAUAUUAAAGUUGUUGCAGUUAAAAAGCUCGUAGUUGAAUUUCGGGGUCAGUAGGAUGGUCGUGCCAAUGGUAUGUACUGGCCUUACUGAUUCCUCCUUCUUGAAGAACUGUAAUGCCAUUAAUUUGGUGUUGCAGGGAAUCAGGACUGUUACUUUGAAAAAAUUAGAGUGUUUAAAGCAGGCUUACGCUUGAAUACAUUAGCAUGGAAUAAUGAAAUAGGAUGUUGAUCUUAUUUUGUUGGUUUCUAGGAUUGACGUAAUGAUUAAUAGGGAUAGUUGGGGGCAUUAGUAUUCAAUUGUCAGAGGUGAAAUUCUUGGAUUUAUUGAAGACUAACUACUGCGAAAGCAUUUGCCAAGGAUGUUUUCAUUAAUCAAGAACGAAAGUUAGGGGAUCGAAGACGAUCAGAUACCGUCGUAGUCUUAACCAUAAACUAUACCGACUAGGGAUCGGAUGAUGUUAAUUUUUUAAUGACUCAUUCGGCGCCUUAA
rnacentral:rRNA from 1 species